rnacentral:rRNA from 1 species
GAUGAACGCUGGCGGCGUGCCUAAUACAUGCAAGUCGAGCGAAUGGAUUAAGAGCUUGCUCUUAUGAAGUUAGCGGCGGACGGGUGAGUAACACGUGGGUAACCUGCCCAUAAGACUGGGAUAACUCCGGGAAACCGGGGCUAAUACCGGAUAAUAUUUUGAACUGCAUGGUUCAAAAUUGAAAGGCGGCUUCGGCUGUCACUUAUGGGUGGACCCGCGUCGCAUUAGCUAGUUGGUGAGGUAACGGCUCACCAAGGCAACGAUGCGUAGCCGACCUGAGAGGGUGAUCGGCCACACUGGGACUGGAGCACGGCCCAGACUCCUCAGGGAGGCAGCAGUAGGGAAUCUUCCGCAAUGGACGAAAGUCUGACGGAGCAACGCCUCGUGAGUGAUGAAGGCUUUCUGGUCGUAAAACUCUGUUGUUAGGGAAGAACAAGUGCUAGUUGAAUAAGCUGGCACCUUGACGGUACCUAACCAGAAAGCCACGGCUAACUACGUGCCAGCCGCCGCAGUAA